UACACUGUAAAAAGAUUUGGGUCCAGAAUUUUAAAGGAAAAUAGUGAUUUGGUCCAGCUGAAAAGGGUUUUAAAUUAGCACUUCGGAAGCUGUCAAAAGAUUUUAAGACGCCCUAAACAUAAAAUUGUCCAUAUUUUGAGUUAGAGACGAUGAAGUUUUCUAUAAUUUUGAUAUAAUUUGUCCCAAAAGUAGUACAACACACUGUAAAAGUUUCUUUGAAAAAGCGCAGGUGGGAUUUUUUUAUUUUCAUUUAUGUUCUAAAAGAAAUGCACUACGAAAUAAUUGUGGUCUCGGACCAUUUGGGCCAUUUCUAAGAUUUAAACCGUGUAUAUUGAAGACACAUUGUAUUGUAUCUUCUUUUGUUGACUAGUAUAUUUACUAAUUAAACGUGCCUAAAUGUGUAUUUCCAAUACUGAUAAUGCAUAUAAGUAAUCAAUAUCUG
rnacentral:lncRNA from 1 species